GAUGAACGCUGGCGGCGUGCCUAAUACAUGCAAGUCGAGCGAACAGACGAGGAGCUUGCUCCUCUGACGUUAGCGGCGGACGGGUGAGUAACACGUGGAUAACCUACCUAUAAGACUGGGAUAACUUCGGGAAACCGGAGCUAAUACCGGAUAAUAUAUUGAACCGCAUGGUUCAAUAGUGAAAGACGGUUUUGCUGUCACUUAUAGAUGGAUCCGCGCCGCAUUAGCUAGUUGGUAAGGUAACGGCUUACCAAGGCGACGAUGCGUAGCCGACCUGAGAGGGUGAUCGGCCACACUGGAGCUGAGACACGGUCCAGACUCCUACGGGAGGCAGCAGUAGGGAAUCUUCCGCAAAGGGCGAAAGCCUGACGGAGCAGCGCCGCGUGAGUGAUGAAGGUCUUCGGAUCGUAAAACUCUGUUAUUAGGGAAGAACAAAUGUGUAAGUAACUAUGCACGUCUUGACGGUACCUAAUCAGAAAGCCACGGCUAACUACGUG
rnacentral:rRNA from 1 species